UAAAAGAUAAGCUAUUUAAAGCUGGUGGGCUCAUACCCUACAUAAGGUUUACCUCUUUUAA
rnacentral:tRNA from 1 species